AAAAAAAACCAAAACAAACCUCAAUUAAUUUUUAUUUGGACGUUUAAUACUCAAUUGUUUUUGGUUGGAAAGUAAAUACACGAAAUAAUAAAAUCAUACAAUUUAAUACACAAAUAAUUAAUUGUUGUUAUUUUCAUACUCACGAUCUCACAACAAAAAUAAAAUUCCAAUUUUACUCUUACCAUCUCAAUUAACUAUUAUUUUUUGAUA
rnacentral:sRNA from 1 species